GAUGAACGCUGGCGGCGUGCCUAAUACAUGCAAGUCGAGCGAACAGAUGAGGAGCUUGCUCCUCUGACGUUAGCGGCGGACGGGUAAGUAACACGUGGAUAACUUCCCUAUAAGACUGGGAUAACUUCGGAAAACGGGAGCUAAUACCGGAUAAUAAAUUAAACCGCAUGGUUAAAUAGUGAAAGCCGGUUUUCAUGUCAUUUAUCAUUGGAUCACGUCCGAAUUAACUAGUUGGUAAGGUAACGGCUUGCAAAGGCACCGAUGCGUAGCCGACCUGAGGGGGUGCUCAGCCCAACUGGAACUGAGAGGCGACCCAGACACCGCCGUGAGGCAGAAAUAGGAACACUACGGCAAAGGGCGAAAGACUGACGGAGCGACGCCGCGUGAGUGAGGAAGGUCUUCGGAUCGUAAAACUGUGUUAUUAGGGAAGAACAAAUGUGUAAGUAACUAUGCACGUCUGGACGGUACCGACACAGAAAGCCACGGCUAACUACGU
rnacentral:rRNA from 1 species